rnacentral:pre_miRNA from 1 species
GACAGCUGUGUGUUCCUGUUACGCUACCUGUUCCUUGGGCUCAACUAUUAGGCUGAGCACAGAGGCUGUUAGGAGACACCCGGGCUGC